UUCUUCAAAGGGAACACACAGUCAGUCAAAGCCUCACUUUUCAGUUUUUCUUUUGCAUUGAGCAAGCUGAAGCAUUUCAGCAGUGCAACUCCAGGCCCUUGUUUGCUGGGCUCUAAUGACAUGUGCCAAUAUGGUUCCUUAAAUUACAUCUCUACUAGUCUAAGUAAAAGACAAAACAUAAAAGUCUAUUUCUUGUCAUUUUAAAACUGGAAUUCCAAAAUAUCUAGCUUCCCUUUUGCAAAAACUAAGGACAGUGUGGCCCAAAUGGACAGGAAUCGUGGCACAGAUGCAGAUGAACCUAUACAUAUGUGCCUGAGAAGCAUCAGGGUUCGGGACCUCAGUCCUGCUCUGGAAUAUAGGGUGGGUCUACCUUUUGGUGGGUUACCAAACAACCAAAUGAUGAGAAAUUCACAGAUAAUUGCAGUAGGGUGAUGUAUUACCUUGAAAUAUGGCAGGAUUGACAGAUCUGUCUAAUUUGCAGUCAAAGGUGAUGUUUCGAAUUUUCUUCUUCCUCUUAGACAUGGGUUUCCACAGACAUGGGUUUGGUCCGCAUGGACAUCUCCCACAGGCAUAAAGCACCAAAGGGGUUUUAGGGCUGGGGCCAUGGAAUGUUUUCUCUAGGACAGUGUGCCACAUCAUAGAGUUUUGUAUUGCAAAACUUCUGCUGUUGAUUAAAAUCAGCCUGAUUCCCUGGUCCCUUAGCUGUUGGUCUCUUUUCACUUCAGACAUCACCUUUAAGUUUGUGUUACUAACUAAAUGAAGUAGAAAAGAAAGAUGAGGAGUGUCUAUAGUAUUUGAAAAUGUGAAUAAGUGAUUGUAAAGAUAUUUUUCUCCCCCUGUGGGGCUUUUAUUUGUUUGAUUUUACUAAUUUCUGCUUUUUGAGUAUCUGAACUGCAGGCAAUAGUCAGCAUCACAGAUUCAUAAGGCAGCCAAGUGAUCACUGGUUAAAAUAUGCACACAAAAUUUCUCUUCAGUCCCAACCAAUAUUUUCCUCCAAACAUUUUUUUCUUUCAUUUGACACAGUAAAUCUUUCAUUCUACUACUUUUGUCACAAGUAGCGUAAAACAAAAACAAAUUGUAAAUUAGGAGAACUAAGACAUGUCUUCCUUUUCUAUUUUUCAUACCAACACAAACCCAUGACUGCCCAUUUGGAUCAUAAGGGGAAUGGAAGCUGGACUCAUACUGGAAGUAUGGAAUGGUACAUUCUAAUAAACAAAGAAAGUGCAACAGCCAGAACCACUAUGCAAUACUGUUCCAAACGGAGUGGAGAAGUGCUGUUAAAUCUGUAUGUCUAGGAGGUGUGGUGUGUUUAGCGACUUGAUGUCUGUGUUAUCCAGCACACUGACUUUCCAGAGUCAUCUCCAAGUUGUAAUGAACAACCUCUAUCCUGCUACCAGAGCCCAGAGAGAAAUAAACCAAGACCACCAGCUAAGACAUUAUGUAAUUGCCAUGGAUAUGGACAACGAAUGACCUCAGUGGCAAUGACUCGGGACCAAGUAAUCCCUUUACAGGAAUUACCAACAGAGGAAACUGGAAACUCUAUGGCAUCUCUUUGUCAUCUUUCUCUCCAGAUGGUGCCUCCAAAUCUCUUCUGAAGGGGCUUGUGCAAAACAGAGCAUGUAAGUACUUCUGCUGGUUUUGGAUUAAGCAUCUCUAAUUAUGGUGAACAUUUUGUUUCAAGAUGCUGGAGAAAAAGGUGUCUGCCUCCUCCCCUCCCUCACCUGUCCCUCCCGGCAGUCAU